rnacentral:rRNA from 1 species
UACGUAGGGGGCAAGCGUUGUCCGGAUUUAUUGGGCGUAAAGAGCGUGUAGGCGGCCAGGUAGGUCCGUUGUGAAAACUCGAGGCUCAACCUCGAGACGUCGGCGGAAACCAUCUGGCUAGAGUCCGGAAGAGGAGAGUGGAAUUCCCGGUGUAGCGGUGAAAUGCGCAGAUAUCGGGAAGAACACCCGUGGCUAAGGCGGCUCUCUAGUACGGUACUGACGCUGAGACGCGAAAGCGUGGGGAGCGAACAGG